rnacentral:sRNA from 1 species
AUGAUGCUUUUGCAGUUGCUGCUUUCAAACAUUAUUCAAUGUAUAAGUCCAGGGCUCCUUUGAACAUCAAAACGUUUGAGAUAGAGGUGGGAACAAUCCUCAGAAAUAGAUUAAAAGACAGAACUGAAUUGUAUGUGUUUUUUAGUAAAGGAGCUAAAUGCCAUACUUUUUUUUUUUUUUUUAAGAGAAAGAGUCUCACUCUGUCGCCCAAGCUGGAGUGCAGUGGUGUGAUCUAGGCUCACUGCAACCUUCACCUCCCUGGUUCAAGCGAUUCUUGUGCCUCAGCCUCCCCAGUAGCUGGGACUACAGGCGUGUGGCAUGAUGCCCGGCUAUUUUUUUGUAUUUUUAGUAGAGAUGGGGUUUCACCACAUUGGCCAGGCUUGUCUCAAACUCCUGACCUCAUGUGAUUUGCCCGCCUCAGCCUCCCAAAAGGCUGGGAUUACAGGCAUGAGCCACCAUGCCUGGCGCCAUACUUUCUUUAAACACAAAAGAUAGGGCUGGCAUUGGAAAAAUAAGCAUGAGUUUGAAAUGCACAAAACAGUGUGCCUUUGCAACCUUAAUAUAAACACUGGUUGUUUUUCACUGGUUUUUCUGGAUUCUAUAUUUUAGAAAUAAAUAUGAAGCAAAAGUUCCCCUAGAAACAUCCCAUGGUCACUACACAUGACCUAAUGGAGAAUUCCCCCUAAAAUGUAUAUAUAGGCAUAUGUCACCCAGGGAAGCAAACAACAAAAAACAUUCUCUCCUUUUAUCUUUUACCUCCACCACACACACACACACACACACACACACACACACACACAGACACAGAGAGUUCUUCAGGUGAAAAUUUUGGACUGGGAGGCAGAGUGCCCUGUGAGGCUGCUGACCUGGAAAAUCUUUUCCUUUGUGGAGAGGCCCUUUGGCCCCAGUAAAAGGGCUGCACAGACCUCACUUCUAUCUGUGAAGGUGAAUUCUCCCUCUGUGGAUGUAGUAUGUGGAGUUCAUAGACCAGUGGUCUUCAUACUAUAUGUAUUCUAUGGAAAAAUGGUGAGAUCACUGAUGCCUUCCAUGGCCUCUCCAAGGCUGGGUAUAAGAGAGAACCUGGUGAAGGAAGGAGAUGGAAGAACUUCCAUUUUCCUAAGCUCUGACAUGGGUGACCUUGGAUAUUUCUGCCAUACCAGGAAGUCACAAUCUUUACAAAGCUGGCUCCUGGGGCUACCUGCUCCACUGGCUUUAUGACUACAGAUUCAGUGACUAGGCUCUGUAUCCACUGGGUUUUCUGGAGAAAGACAUUAUUUGAUAUAAUUACUAAAAUCAAACAUGUCUACCCACUGCCAGACAGUCAAGGCUGAUGCAGUUUGGGCUAAUCAAUUGAGCUGGCCAUCUCCCAUCCCUUCAUCACAGGCACCCUCUCUCCAUUCCCUGAGGGCCCACAGUUCUAGAGGUGAAAUUGCCUCGGUUCUCAGAGGAUCUCCCCAGAGGGUCUAUCUUCCCUCCUCUCCCCUCAGUUUCUAAUGCUUGUGUCACUCUCAGCACCGCGUGGUAAAUGCUAUUGUUGCCAGCUUUCCUGCUUAUAAGUUUUUUGUUAAACCUGCUGGUGAUAGCUGAGAUACCCCAGGAUAAUAAGUCAUAAAAGUCCAAGCUAAUCGUUUACUGGCUGCUAAGAAACCUCUUCUCCCAAGUGACAAUUGUGUUCAUUUGUUCAUGCACUUAUGUAUCCAUUAAACAAACAACUUUGGAGCCAUUGCAAAGCUCCAGGUGAUGGGCUUGGCCAAUGAAAUAAUGCAAAACAAAGGAGGCCAAAAGGAUGAACCUUAAGGAUUCUGUCAACCUCAUUGUCUUACCUGGGUGAAUAACUCAUGGGAUGGAGUGGGAGAUUCUAGGCCACUAAGCUGCUAUACUUUAUCUUAGCCAAAAGGCCCGGAUUGCUUCUGGCAGGUGGUAAUAUGGCCACCUCUUCUAUCAUCAUGCCUUGGAUCCCACUGAGUGGUUUGUCUAAGGCCUCUCUGCCCUGAGCUACAGGUAAAAGCUUUAGCAGUCAUUGUUUCAUUCCACAGAUACCCUAGGUCAAAGCAAGCUCUCAAGAUUCAGGAGAAAGUGGAGAGGUGCUUACCUUCAGGAGAAGAGCUACAGUACUGGGGAUCUUGGAGGCAUUUUGUCUUCAAAGAUGUGUUCCUGGAGAGCUGCAGAAAGGGUUAGAGUUAUUCCUGGGACACCUGCAUGGCGUCCAGGACUCUGGGCCCUGUGGUCACUGGGAGCUGUGGAGGAAGAGUCGGUCGAUUCCCUUUGCAGCUUCUCUGGAUGGAAUGACACUUCCUUUUUUUUUUCUUUCUUUUUUUUUUUUACAGAGUCUAGCUCUGUCACCAGGCUAGAGUGCAACGGCGCAAUCUCAGCUCACUGCAACCUCCACCCCCCGGGUUCAAGCGAUUCUCCUCCCUCAGCCUCCCAAGUAGCUGGGACUACAGGUGCGCGCCACCACACCCAGCUAAUUUUUGUAUUUUUAGUAGUGACGGGGUUUCACCAUGUUGGCCAGGAUGGACUCGAUCUCUUGACCUUGUGAUCUGCCCUCCUCGGCCUCCCAAAGUGCUGGGAUUACAGGCGUGAGCCACUGCACCUGGACACUUCCAAAUUUAGACAAACAUGCCUGCAGGCCCCUUGAAGUAGGAGGACCAAUAGAGUUGCUCCAGCUCAGUCUCCCUGAAUGGUUUCACGAAGGCCUGCCUUGGGUGUGAGAGCCAGGAAAUGGCACUUGCAUUGGGCCAAACUGUCACUGACACAUAAUUUAGUGCUUUUUUAUUCUUCAGUUAGAUGUACAGGUCCAUAAAAGCAGACAUGAAACAAAAGAAGGGCUGUGGCAUGAAUCCCUUAAAAAUAAAGAAGUCUGUUCAAAUGUGGGGUUAAUGAAAAAUCACACUCAAUAUUGUACCAAUCUUUCUGUUUUUUUCAACAGAGAAUACUGGAGUCUCACAACAAUACCUUAGUUGACCCUUGUCCGGAAAACUCAAAUAUAUGUGAGGUGUGCAACAAAUGGGGACGGCUGUUCUGCUGCGACACUUGUCCAAGAUCCUUUCAUGAGCGCUGCCACAUCCCACCCGUGGAAGCCAACAAGAACCCGUGGAGUUGCAUCUUCUGCAGGAUAAAGACUAUUCAGGAAAGAUGCCCAGAAAGCCAAUCAGGUCAUCAGGAAUCUGAAGUCCUGAUGAGGCAGAUGCUGCCUGAGGAGCAGUUGAAAUGUGAAUUCCUCCUCUUGAAGGUCUACUGUGAUUCGAAAAGCUGCUUUUUCGCCUCAGAACCAUAUUAUAACAGAGAGGGGUCUCAGGGCCCACAGAAGCCCAUGUGGUUAAACAAAGUCAAGAGAAGUUUGAAUGAGCAGAUGUACACCCGAGUAGAAGGGUUUGUGCAGGACAUGCGUCUCAUCUUUCAUAACCACAAGGAAUUUUACAGGGAAGAUAAAUUCACCAGACUGGGAAUUCAAGUACAGGACAUCUUUGAGAAGAAUUUCAGAAACAUUUUUGCAAUUCAGGAAACAAGCAAGAACAUUAUAAUGUUUAUUUAGCCAUUCUUAUCUCCUCCCUUCAGAUCCUCUGGCAGCUAGCUACGCAAUGUGCCUGUGGUCCCACUAAUCUCUGACUGCUCCUGGGGAAACUCUACAUCACAAUUCUCCAAAAUUUAUCAUUGCCAUUUUAAAACUGUCUUUUCAGCUUUCAAUAAAAUUCAACACCCCUUCAUGUU